rnacentral:tRNA from 1 species
GGGUGCUUAGCUCAAUUGGUUAGAGCGACGCGUUUACACCGCGUAGGUUAUAGGUUCGAGUCCUAUAGCACCCACCA